ACUCACAUCUAAAUUUGUCUUUUUUGUUUCUCUAUGCAUAUAAUGAAUUUGGAUUGGAACUUUGUGACAUGGUAGACACAUAUCUUAUGAACAUACUCAAUUUAUUUCAAAAUAUUUGAAAACUUUUUAGUGGUGUUACGGUGCGUUGGGAGCACGAGAGCAUCCUAAGGGAUGGUAGGACGGGAUAUCUUCUCUUCUCGGCGAUGCAUGGCUGGGAAAAACCUCCCUCUGAUUGUGUCAAGCUGGAUGUAAACCACUUGAUGCUAUCUUCUUGUGAUAAUCUGCCGAGUAGAACAAUUUGGCAGCCAUGCAUCAUUCCAAAUAUUGAUCUUAUCGUCUUUUCCCACUCGCCACAAAUGACCUAAAACAUGAUCUUAUCGUCUUUUCCCACUCGCCACAAAUGACCAAGUUUUAGGUUGAGACAAUUGUCGGAAAAAAAAGUGAUUUUGUAAAAUUUACUCAUUUUAUUUUGAGCCCAAGAGUUCAUCAUUGCCUGUGCGUAAGCCGGCUUGUCUGUUGCCUUCUCGGCGGGCAGGCCCACCAUACCGAAGCCCAAUUGAGGCCAAUUCCGAUAAGGACACACAACUUCCGUAUCAAAUCAAUCCACGCGAGCACCGCCUUGAUCACGGCGGACCGCAUCAAUCGCGCGUGCCAU
rnacentral:lncRNA from 1 species